AAAAACGUCCCCACUUCCUUCUCCUAAUCCUCCAAAGUCCCCUCCAACAGAUAAGGGGGGAAAAAAAAAAAGAAAAAAGCAAGUUAGCACAGUCAGACCAGCCUGCUGGGAAAAAGCUUUGGCUAUGCUGUUCAAACCCUGAGAAGUGUUACACGACUGGAUCAGGAAAUAACUGCUUGCUGAUAGACGAAAGUCCCAUUGCUUUUCUGUAGAGCCUGCUCUUUUAGUUUUGCUGAAGGGGCUCAGGAGCCAAGCAUGUUUUAUAGGCUUGCGAGUUGCCAGCGUCAUGCAGGGACUGAAGCGAUGAGCAUCAUCGGCUGCAUUAACCUUGUUGCUUGAAAAGCUGUUUGCAUAUCCAUCUGACACUGAUUUCCAUGUUUAACCAGCCGACAUGGUGCCAAGAAGCAGCUCCUCAUUCCAGGCCUAGGAGUUCUGUGGACAUCUGACCUUUGCUACAGCAUUUUCUAGAACCUGUCGGCAAGUGGCAGGUCCUYGUCAUAGAUAACUAAUCCUAUAAUUCAUUGGAGUGAAUCUCACACUUUCUUGUUUUGAAUCCUUCAUCUUCGAUCAG